rnacentral:lncRNA from 1 species
AGCAUGUGGAAAUUCCUGGGCCAGGGAUGGAACCCACGCCACAGCAGGGAACCAAGCCACUACAGAGACAACACUAGACCCUUAACCCACUGUGCCACAAGAGAACUCCCUAUGUAUGAUUUCUAAUUCAACUUCUUCUCCUCUCCUCUUUCUCCUAAUGACCGAGAUGUAUUGUCGUAUAUAUAUAUUGUAGGGUAUGGAAAAUCUGACAUAAGAAUUUUAAUACUUUAAGAGGUCCCCUUUUUAAGAGGGGCUUUUCCUUCAGUGUCUACGACUCUGUAAGAGUUGCUCUGUAAGAGUUGACCUAGCAUUUGUGCUUCCAGGUAUAAUUCAAAAGAAUUGUAAACAGGGACUGAAUCACAUACUGGCACACCAGUGUUCACUGUAGUGUAAUCCAUAAUAGCCCAAAGAUGGAAACAACCCAGCGUCCACCAACAGAUAAAUGUGUGAACAAAAUGUGGUAUAUACAAAUGACAGAGUAGUAUUCAGCCAUAAAAAGAAAUGAAGUACAUGGAAACAGUAUAUUAAGCGAAAUGAACCAGACAUAAAAAGAAAAACAUUGUAAGAUUUCACUCAUAUGAAAUAUCUAGAAUAGACAAAUUCAUAGAAAUAAAAAGUAGAUUAUUACUGGUGGGUCAGGGCCUGGGGGAUAGGAACUUAUAGUAUAAUGGUUAUAGAAUUUCUUUCUGGAGUGAUGGAAAAAGUUUGUUAAUAGCAGUGAUAGAUGGCCAACACUGUGAAUGCACUUAAUGCUGUUGAAUUGCACACUUAAAAUUGUUUAAAUGGAUAUUUUUGUUAUAUAUAUUUUACCACAAUAAAAAUGUUCACAGGCACAUCAAAAACGAGUGGAAGGCAACUCCCCAGGGCAAGGGCCACCUCCUUCCCACUCCAUCCCUCUCCCUAACUGCCUUCUGUGAUCUUUCCUUUCCUCAUCACCUGACUCCCUCAAUAUCCAAUGAACAUCUGACCUCCAUUAAAGGAGAAUUUCCUGGGUUUCACUGCACAAGUGCAUCUGCUAUUCUCCAUACUUUGUAACACUUGUAUUAGCUACCACAUAGGCUAAUACUAAUCUACUAUUGAGUUAGUACCAUGUUACCACCAUGAAGCAGAGCAAAUAAUAAUUAGUAUAUAGCAACACACAGCCAUUUCCCCUCUGUGUGUGUGUGUUCAAACUAAAAAGAAUUAUUAUUUUAAAAAGAAAAAAUGCUAUCAAAUAUUUUCUACAACUCCAUUAGUUCUAAGAGGCCUCCCCCACGUCCCCCCCAAGUGUAACUUGAUACCAACCUUUCUGGAAAUCAGUGUAGCAGUGACUAUCAGACGCUUUAAAAAAUAUGUAUACCCUUUAAUUCACCAAUCCCUCAUCCAAAAGAAGGACAAAGAUUUAUGCACAAAGCCACUGGGAACUAUGUCUGGUCACUUAUGAUGGAGCAUGAUAAUGGGAGAAAAAACAAUGUAUACAUGUAUGUGUAACUGGGUCACCUUAGUUCCCUUUGUGGCUCAGCUGUAAUGAACCCGACUAGUAUCCAUGAGUUUGUGGGUUUGAUCCCUGGCCUCGUUCAAAGGCUUAAGGAUCCGGUGUUGCCGUGAACUGAGGUGUAGGUCACGGAUGCAGCUCAGAUCCCGAGUUACCCAUGGCUAUGGUGUAGGCCAGCAGCUGCAGCGCCAAUUUGACCCACUAUCCUGGGAAAUUCUAUAUGCCAUGGUGCAGCCCUUAAAAGACAAAAAAGAAAAAAAAUGCAAUGACACUGACAAAUAUGUAUGUCUUAAUGUGAGCAUAAACAGCAGGAUGCAAAUUUGCAUGUACAUUAAUGAUCUCGAUUAUGAAAGAAUAAAAUGAAUAAAACACUGGAAAGAAAUAUAUUACAAUGGUGUUGGAGUUGCUUCUAGUUAGGAAGAGUUUUCGUUUUUUGUUAUUUUUUAAAAUUUUUGUUUAAUUUCUUUUUGCAAUAAGCAUCUAUCACUGAUAAUCAGAGAAAAAAAAUAAUGGAAAAGCUGCCUUAAAUCCUUUCUGGUGUUAGAUGUGGUACCCCUCCCCCAGGACGCUGUUGGAAAAUGACAGUGGGACAUGAAAUGGAAAUUGCACAGUUAGUAGAAUUCUCCAGAAUGGUAGCCCUAGAAAAGAGGCAACAAGUCCCUAUCAUGCCACUGACCUUCCAGUUGAAGAACACUUUGGGGGAGAGAUUAAGGGUUAAGUAAAAAGUUAAAAAAAAAUGCUAAAAGGGGAAAGAAAACAUUUAGGUGGAUACUCUCCAUUUAGGUAUAAACCUAGAUAAUCCUUCAAGAUAUUCACACUUCUGGAGUUCCUGUCAAGGCACAGCAGAAGCAAAUCCAGCUAGAAACCAUGAGGUUGUGGGUUCGAUCCCUGGCCUCACUCAGUGGGUUAAGGAUCCAGCAUUGCCAUGAGCUGUGGUGUAUGUCACAGAGGUGGUUUGGAUCCUGAGUUGCUGUGGCUGUGGUUUAGGUCGGCGGCAACAGCUCCGAUUAGACCCCUAGCCUGGGAACAUCCAUAUGCCGCAGGAGUGGCCCUAGAAAAGGCAAAAAGACAAAAAAAAAAAAAAAAAAAAAAAAGAUGAAAAAAAUAGGGUAUUCCUUGGCAAGACUGUGAAAUCUUUGCUUUCUUUAUAUAUAUCCUUUCUCUUGACAAUGACUUUUUUUUUUUUUCCCACUGUACAGCAAGGGGGUCAGGUUAUCCUUACAUGUAUACAUUACAAUUACAGUUUUUCCCCCACCCUUUCUUCUGUUGCAACAAUGACUUUUUAAAAAUACUCAGGACCUUUUAAAGACACAAUCAGGACCAUCGUAUGCUCUGUUAUACUUUGAUAAGAACUCAUAAAUACUCAAUUCUCUCUCAAGAUAUUUGCAUUUUAAGCUUCCUAUCCCUAAUUAUGGAAUAAAUUACUUUUGUUUAAAUUCUGAAAUUUUGAGAUAAUAGCAAUCAGGAAUUUUUUUGUACAGAGAGAUAUCUUGCCCUGAGGUCAUAGUGUAUAUGAGACAAACCCAGAUGACUGACCUACUUUUUAGUCACUUGAAUAUCAGGAUUACUCAGAAGGAACUUUAUUUCUUCUAUUUCCCUGACAGGUCCCUGUGCAAGGGUUAAGACUUGUGAUCUCUACUAGGGGCCUCUUCUCACCCAAGAACUUGGAAGUCAAAUGAUUUCUCACACAUCUAAAACAAAGCUCUUGAUUUCCUCUGCUAAAUCUAAUCCUCAUCUUGGUACCUGGCAGCUCCAUUCAAUUAGCUGCCUAGACCCAAUCCUAAAAACUUUGGCUCAUGCCAAACACCCCAUGUUCAACCCAUCAGCAAGGGUUGUCAGCUCUACCUUCAAGCAGUUCCUGAAUCUGAAGACUUCUCUGAUUCUCUACCACUGUAUCUAUUUGGUCUCUCUCCUUCCACCUUUGCCCCUCUAUAAUGUAUUCUUCAUUCAGCAGCAAGAUGGAUCCUGUUAGAAUAUAAAUCUGAUUAUUUCACCCUUUUGCUCAAAAUCUUCAAAUGACCUUUCUACCAUAUUUGGAAUAGAAUCUCAAGCUCUGACCGGUCCCCGCUCUUCUUAAACCACAUAUCCCACCAUUCUCUUCCUCAUCCAUCAGGAUCCAUAAACAUUGGUCUCCUUAUCUUCCUCAAACAAUUCCACCUCAGGGCCAUUCACUCUGCCAGAAUGUUCUUUCUUUUCCUUUUUUUUAAGGGCCACACCAGCAGCAUACAGAACUUCCCAGGAUAGGGGCUGAAUUGGAGCUGCCUCUGCCAGCCUGUACCACAGCCACAGCAACGCCAGAUCUGAGCCACAUCUGUGACCUACACCACAGCUCACAGCAACACCGGAUCCUUAACCCACUGAACAAGGCCAGGGAUCAAACCCACAUCCUCAUGGAUACUAGUCAGGUUCAUUACUGCUGAGCCACAGCGGGAACUCCUGAGUGUUCUUUCCUCAGCUAUGCUCGUGACUUGUCCCUUCACUCCAUUCAGGUCUUUACUCAGUGAAUCCCUCUUCAGCAAGAUCUUCCCUGACCACCAGAACUAAAAUGACAACCCCACACCCACCAGUACUCUUCAUCAUUUUCUACCCCUCUCCCCACCUUGAUUUCUCUUGAUAGAAAUUACCACUCUCUUGCCACUUCAUUACACAUACAUUUGUUUGUUGUUAAUUGUCUGUUGUCCCUUAGCAAGCUUUAAGGUCGAUGAGGAUAAUCGAUUCUUUGUUUUGUUCACAGCUGUAUAUCCAGUACCUAGAACAAUGCCUGGCAUAUCCAUAAAUGAAUUGAUGACCAAAACAGUGAGCCACUGGAUUAAAGAAAGCAUCUCUGUUUUUUGUGGUUGUUUUAGUUUUUUGCUGCAACCUACCCUAGAGCCCACUCAGAACACAGAGGAGGUAAGACAGUCAUAGAGCUCCCGAGGCUAGAUAUUUGGGAAACUGGGUACAUUAAAGGGGGGGGGGCAGAUAGAAAGAUGUUCCUUGAAUUGUUACACCCUUGGAAGAUCUUUUCUCCCCACCUGGGCCACUUGACCCAUGGCUUAGGUCACUCUCAUUCCCUUCCUCUGAAGCCAUUCUCUACAGGGAAAGUAAACCACACCUCAUACCAGAGCUUCUACUAUCUGAAGUUGUUUUGUACCCAAGAAACUAGGAGAAUUGGGAGUAAAAAGAAACUUGUCAGCCACUUAGAUGGAAAGAUAAGACUUGCAAGAUAAGACUAGUUGUGCAGAAAACAAGGAAUUCAAGCAUUGGGCAUGGAGUGUGGUACCCAGAGUAUUGAGCAGUUUAAUCUGGAGCUUUAAGGGGAGAUGGCAGAGCAUAGUCAUGGAGGACACAGGCUAAAAGGAAGAUGGUCUUGAGUUCGGUUCCAGCUUCACUACUAGCUGUUUAAUCUCAAGAACCUUACUUAGCCUUUUGCAGCCUCAGUAUUCUUAUCACAAAAUAAAAAUAGUAAUCAUUAUUUCAAAGAAUGCAUUGAUCAUUAAAUGUUUUAUGUAUUUUAAAGGCAUAGCUCAGUGUAUGGCACAUGGUGAGCCCUAAAUGAAUGGAAGGUGUUAUUAUCAUUGUUUCAGUGUCUAAGAUGAAGGAAAACUAUUGACCCUAAUGGCAACUAUAAAUUCUACAGAAAUAACAGGAUAAUUUAUGUGACUGGUUGAUAUUUGAUACUCAGUUAUGACACAAGACAGCAUUAGUUAUGCAUAGAAUUUAGUAUGUUCAAAAUUAAUUUUGUUUCAUUGAAACAAGAUUCAUAAACCAUAAACAAGACAGAACACAGUGUCUUUGGACAGGUUCUUUAACUUCUCUGGCUCUAGUGUGUUGUCACAUGCGCACAACAGCACAGUAUUCUCCAAAACUGGGCUAUCACUUUGAUGUCCCUUGUUGUAAAGGCUAUGGCUGCAAAGUAGAGAUGCUGAAGCUGGAAAGAUGAAUUGGGGCCAGAUUGCAAAAAGAAUUAUGUAUCACUCUAAAUUGAGAGUGGGUGUUAUUCAAAGAAAGCCUCUGAUUUUUUUUCUAAAGCAACAAAGUGAUAUGAUCAAAUCUUUGUUUUGGAAGGAUAACUCUGUGUUGUAAGCCUUUGGGGUUGCAGUGAAGAUGCAAAGAAGAUUAACAGAGUGGAACGAGACUUGAGGUAGGGAGUUCAGCCAAGAGAAUAUUAGAGUAGUUGAUGUUCAAAAAGAAACAUGCACCCCAAUAUUCAUUGCAGCACUGUUCAUGAUAGCUAAGACAUGGAAGCAAUCCCCAUGCCCACUGACAGACGAAUGGACAAAGAAGAUGUGGUAUAUAUACAAUGGAAUAUUACUCAGUCAUAAAAAAGAAUGAAAUAAUGCCAUUUUUAGCAACAUAGUUGGAUCUAGAGAUUACCAUAUUAAGUGAAGUAAGUCAGAAAGAGAAAAAUAUCCUAUGAUAUCACUCAUAAAUGGAGUAUUUUUUAAAUAAUACAAAUGAACUUACAUACAAAAUAGAAAUAGACCCACAGACAUAGAAAGCAAACUCUUGGUUACUAAAGGGGGAGGGAUAAGUUAGGAGUUUGAGAUUAACAUAUACAGACUACUAUAUGAAAAUAACUAACAAGAACCACUGUAUAGCACAGGGAAUUAUACUCAGUAUCUUAUCAUAACCUAUAAAGGAAGAGAAUGUAAAAAAAGAAUAUGCAAAUAAACUGAAUCACUUUGCUAUAUACCUGAAACUAACACAACAUUAUAAAUCAACUAUAUUUCAAUAAAAAAAUUUAAAAAUAAAUAAAAUUAAAUUUAAAAAUAAAAAAAAUUUAAGUCAUUGACAGAAGAUGACGUGGCCCUAAUUAUUCAAAUAUUGAAUGGAUUUAAAUAAUUGAUUGGUGAACUAUAUUAUUACACUAUCUCUGUGAGUGCUUUUCUUCCCAUGUGAAGCAGUGAAAUAGAUAACUUACACAUUCUAAAAACUGGGAAGUAGAGGGAACCUACAACUUGACGUGCACUUGGCCAUGAAAGACUGCCUGUUGAAAGUGGGAUUCACUUCAGAAACUGUAGGCAAUUGAAAAAGAGAGAGCUUACGUUAGAAGAAAAGCAUUUUCAAUUACAUCAAAUGCCAUAAUGGAGAGGCAUUUUAAUUUCUUUUGCACAGGGAACAUGACAGCUCUUUACCAGUAGCCAUUCUCAUGUUCCAAAGCACUAGCACCAUCCCUGUUUUCUAAGACAGUUCUCUCUUCAAACUCUUUUCGCCACUUCCUUGGCUCAGUAUAGAACUCCUCCAUACCAUAGACACAAAAACCUUUGUCAAGGCUGCACAAAGGCAUCAUCCUCCUUAUUUUACACAGAUUCUUCCAUGAGAAUACCUUCCUCCCUACUUCCAGGCUCAAAGGAGUAAGUAUUUUCUGGAGUUGGUUUAUUGCUCACAAAAAGAACAGAUUUGAAUUCCAGCACUGUCCUUUACUGAAGAGGUGAUUUUAGAAAAUAUACUUCAUUUUUCUUUUUUUUUUUUUUUGGCAUUUCUUGAGCCGCUCCCACGGCAUAUGGAGGUUCCCAGGCUAGGGGUCUAAUUGGAGCUGUAGCCACCAGCCUAUGCCAGAGCCACAGCAACGCAGGAUCCGAGCCGCGUCUGCAACCUACACCACAGCUCAUGGCAACGCCGGAUCGUUAACCCACUGAGCAAGGGCAGGGACUGAACCCGCAACCUCAUGGUUC